rnacentral:rRNA from 1 species
ACCGGCGCACGGGUGAGUAACACGUAUCCAACCUGCCGUCUACUCUUGGACAGCCUUCUGAAGGAAGAUUAAUACAAGAUGGCAUCAUGAGUCCGCAUGUUCACAUGAUUAAAGGUAUUCCGGUAGACGAUGGGGAUGCGUUCCAUUAGAUAGUAGGCGGGGUAACGGCCCACCUAGUCUUCGAUGGGUAGGGGUUCUGAGAGGAAGGUCCCCCACAUUGGAACUGAGACACGGUCCAAACUCCUACGGGAGGCAGCAUG